GAUGAAUAACGUAGCGAAAUGCGAUAAGUAAUGUGAAUUGCAGAAUUCAGUGAAUCAUCGAAUCUUUGAACGCACCUUGCGCUCCUUGGUAUUCCGAGGAGCAUGCCUGUUUGAGUGUCAUUAAAUUCUCAACCUUAUUGGCUUUUGCUGAUAAUGGCUUGGACUUGGGGGUCUUUUUGCUGGCUUUCAUUAGUCUGCUCCCCUUAAAUGUAUUAGCCGGUGCCCCGCAGUGGAACCGUCUAUUGGUGUGAUAAUUAUCUACGCCGUGGACGUCUGCUAUAAUGGGUUUGCGCUGCUUCUAACCGUCUCUCGGGACAACACAAAUGACAAUUUGACCUCAAAUCAGGUAGGACUACCCGCUGAACUUAAGCAUAUCAAUAAGCGGAGGA
rnacentral:misc_RNA from 1 species